rnacentral:rRNA from 1 species
GACGAACGCUGGCGGCGUGCCUAAUACAUGCAAGUCGAGCGCAGGAAAUCGACGGAACCCUUCGGGGGGAAGUCGACGGAAUGAGCGGCGGACGGGUGAGUAACACGUAAAGAACCUGCCCUCAGGUCUGGGAUAACCACGAGAAAUCGGGGCUAAUACCGGAUGGGUCAUCGGACCGCAAGGUCCGAGGAUGAAAGGCGCUCCGGCGUCGCCUGGGGAUGGCUUUGCGGUGCAUUAGCUAGUUGGUGGGGUAAUGGCCCACCAAGGCGACGAUGCAUGGCCGAACUGAGAGGGUGAUCGGCCAAACUGGGACUGAGACACGGCCCAGACUCCUACGGGAGGCAGCAGUAGGGAAUCUUCCACGAUGGACGAAAGUCUGAUGGGGCAACGCCGCGUGAACGAUGAAGGCCUUCGGGUCGUAAAGUUCUGUUGUAAGGGAAGAACAAGUGCCGCAGGCAAUGGCGGCACCUUGACGGUACCUUGCGAGAAAGCCACGGCUAACUACGUGCCAGCCGCCGCCGUAACAC